rnacentral:rRNA from 1 species
GACGAACGCUGGCGGCGUGCCUAAUACAUGCAAGUCGAGCGGACGAAUCGAAAGCUUGCUUUUGAUUCGUUAGCGGCGGACGGGUGAGUAACACGUGGGCAACCUGCCCUGUAGACGGGGAUAACACCGAGAAAUCGGUGCUAAUACCGGAUAACACGAAAUGUCGCAUGACGUUUCGUUGAAAGACGGCGCAAGCUGCCGCUACAGGAUGGGCCCGCGGCGCAUUAGCUAGUUGGUGAGGUAACGGCUCACCAAGGCGACGAUACGUAGCCGACCUGAGAGGGUGAUCGGCCACACUGGGACUGAGACACGGCCCAGACUCCUACGGGAGGCAGCAGUAGGGAAUCUUCCGCAAUGGACGAAAGUCUGACGGAGCAACGCCGCGUGGGCGAAGAAGGCCUUCGGGUCGUAAAGCUCUGUUGUUAGGGAAGAACAAGUAACGCAGUAACUGGCGUUACCGUGACGGUACCUAACGAGAAAGCCACGGCUAACUACGUG